GAUGAACGCUGGCGGCGUGCCUAAUACAUGCAAGUCGAGCGAACAGACGAGGAGCUUGCUCCUCUGACGUUAGCGGCGGACGGGUGAGUAACACGUGGAUAACCUACCUAUAAGACUGGGAUAACUUCGGGAAACCGGAGCUAAUACCGGAUAACAUGUUGAACCGCAUGGUUCAACAGUGAAAGACGGUCUUGCUGUCACUUAUAGAUGUAUCCGCGCCGCAUUAGCUAGUUGGUAAGGUAACGGCUUACCAAGGCAACGAUGCGUAGCCGACCUGAGAGGGUGAUCGGCCACACUGGAACUGACACACGGUCCAGACUCCUACGGGAGGCAGCAGUAGGGAAUCUUCCGCAAUGGGCGAAAGCCUGACGGAGCAACGCCGCGUGAGUGAAGAAGGUCUUCGGAUCGUAAAACUCUGUUAUUAGGGAAGAACAAAUGUGUAAGUAACUAUGCACGUCUUGACGGUACCUAAUCAGAAAGCCACGGCUAACUACGUG
rnacentral:rRNA from 1 species